ensembl:snRNA U6 U6 spliceosomal RNA
GUGUUUACCUUGGUAGCUCAUAUACUAAAAUUGGAACCAUAUAGAGAAGAUUAUCAUGGCUCCUGUUGAAAGAUGACAUGCAAAUUCAUAAAAUAUUAUGAGAUCCCU